rnacentral:sRNA from 1 species
AGUGGCUGUCAAGAUGGGAGGAUGUCGCGCACUUGGAACGUGGGUUUGACUUAGAAUGAGGUGCCGCGAUCCUCUAGAGUUAUCCAAAGUCAAUGAGUACCACAUGCCAAUCUGUACUAUCCAGCACAAGAACAUUCCUUGGGUGCAUGGAGUAUACAGUAUAGAUUCUGCAUCAAUGAUUGCCUUCAAAAUAUUUUGAGGCUCUGACUGUGGAUAGUUUGGUUGGAUUGAGCCAUUGCAUCGAGAUCUCAGGUACUUUUUCAAUAAGGAUUAACCGGAUAGAUCGUGAACAAGUUUUAUUUGGAAUUGGCAGUUCAAGAGUAAAGGACCCAUAAUAUCUUGGAAUGAUAGUUCCUUCAAGUGGAUCAAGCAGUUGGUAGGCUGUGGUUUCAUGAGAGUAUGCUAGAUCUUGUGUAUAGUGAAAGGGAUCCACAUCAUCUUGCUCAUGAUCAAAGUAAAGAGGGUCGUAGAACUUAGCAACUAGAUACUUAUCAGUUGGUAUCAAGUCUGAUAUAUCUGGAGUCUUAUCAACCAUGUGGACAGUAACAAGUUGAGCACUGUGUUGGAUCUCCUGUUCGGACAGGUUCAACAAUCUUUAGUCGAAUAGUGAUGUAUCUCUAUUGACUAAACGGG